AGAGAUUGAACAUAAGAGUUUGAUCCUGGCUCAGAUUGAACGCUGGCGGCAUGCUUUACACAUGCAAGUCGGACGGCAGCACAGAGAAGCUUGCUUCUUGGGUGGCGAGUGGCGAACGGGUGAGUAACAUAUCGGAACGUACCGAGUAGUGGGGGAUAACUGAUCGAAAGAUCAGCUAAUACCGCAUACGUCUUGAGAGGGAAAGCAGGGGACCUUCGGGCCUUGCGCUAUUCGAGCGGCCGAUAUCUGAUUAGCUGGUUGGUGGGGUAAAGGCUCACCAAGGCGACGAUCAGUAGCGGGUCUGAGAGGAUGAUCCGCCACACUGGGACUGAGACACGGCCCAGACUCCUACGGGAGGCAGCAGUGGGGAAUUUUGGACAAUGGGCGCAAGCCUGAUCCAGCCAUGCCGCGUGUCUGAAGAAGGCCUUCGGGUUGUAAAGGACUUUUGUCAGGGAAGAAAAGGCUGUUGCUAAUAUCAGCGGCUGAUGACGGUACCUGAAGAAUAAGCACCGGCUAACUACGUGCCAGCAGCCGCGGUAAUACGUAGGGUGCGAGCGUUAAUCGGAAUUACUGGGCGUAAAGCGGGCGCAGACGGUUACUUAAGCAGGAUGUGAAAUCCCCGGGCUCAACCCGGGAACUGCGUUCUGAACUGGGUGACUCGAGUGUGUCAGAGGGAGGUAGAAUUCCACGUGUAGCAGUGAAAUGCGUAGAGAUGUGGAGGAAUACCGAUGGCGAAGGCAGCCUCCUGGGAUAACACUGACGUUCAUGCCCGAAAGCGUGGGUAGCAAACAGGAUUAGAUACCCUGGUAGUCCACGCCCUAAACGAUGUCAAUUAGCUGUUGGGCAACUUGAUUGCUUGGUAGCGUAGCUAACGCGUGAAAUUGACCGCCUGGGGAGUACGGUCGCAAGAUUAAAACUCAAAGGAAUUGACGGGGACCCGCACAAGCGGUGGAUGAUGUGGAUUAAUUCGAUGCAACGCGAAGAACCUUACCUGGUCUUGACAUGUACGGAAUCCUCCAGAGACGGAGGAGUGCCUUCGGGAGCCGUAACACAGGUGCUGCAUGGCUGUCGUCAGCUCGUGUCGUGAGAUGUUGGGUUAAGUCCCGCAACGAGCGCAACCCUUGUCAUUAGUUGCCAUCAUUCAGUUGGGCACUCUAAUGAGACUGCCGGUGACAAGCCGGAGGAAGGUGGGGAUGACGUCAAGUCCUCAUGGCCCUUAUGACCAGGGCUUCACACGUCAUACAAUGGUCGGUACAGAGGGUAGCCAAGCCGCGAGGCGGAGCCAAUCUCACAAAACCGAUCGUAGUCCGGAUUGCACUCUGCAACUCGAGUGCAUGAAGUCGGAAUCGCUAGUAAUCGCAGGUCAGCAUACUGCGGUGAAUACGUUCCCGGGUCUUGUACACACCGCCCGUCACACCAUGGGAGUGGGGGAUACCAGAAGUAGGUAGGGUAACCGCAAGGAGUCCGCUUACCACGGUAUGCUUCAUGACUGGGGUGAAGUCGUAACAAGGUAGCCGUAGGGGAACCUGCGGCUGGAUCACCUCCUUUCUA
rnacentral:rRNA from 1 species